UCUAGCCCUCCAGAGAGUCCUGGCAUCAGGUCAAGCUGGAGGAUGUGGCUGUGGAGAGCCCUUCAUCAAGUGUCAUCCCAGCUUCUCCUUCAACUCCUGGCUAGAGAUUAGAUCUACACACUCCUGAUACCAUUGUUUCCAAGGAUCUCCUCUGUUCCCACAUUAGGAUCUGCCAGGAAGAAGUCUGCUCCAGUUACUAUCUUUCCUGUGGGCCCAGGGCAUUAACUCCUCAAGGCAUGGCCGCUCUUCUUGUCAUGUGACCUCCCCAGCACCCCUGGGAUGUGGCCAGGUGAGGAUCGUGAUUCCCAUUGUACAGAUUGGAAGGCAGCCCCGGGGGAGGGGACCAGGAGCCAUUCCAGCUCACCCAGUGUACAGAAGACAGAGGCAAAUGGGACUUUGGGCUCAGAGCCACCCCCUUAGUCGGCACCAGUUUCCUCUUCUCCCUCCUCCUUAGACAUAGGGUGGCAGCUGAUACGUAGUUAAAUACCCAAACUUUCUGUGUCUGAGAGAACAAAGCUCAUGUGUCCUAGAGUCCUGGGGGCAAAGGUUGACUGUGGAGCCCAAAGAGAGGAGAGAACUUGGGGCCACACGGUCCAGAAGGAGGAGGUGUCCAGAAGAGGCAUGGGGAGUAGAAGACCUGGGUGCUGGAAAGCUGGCUGAGCCCUGGAAAGCUGCCUGAGCCCUGGCUUUGCCACACUGCUUCCUGUGCCCUCAGGCCAGAAUGAACAGAAUUUCUCAGAAUUCUGGGCCCAUCAGAUGCUCUGGGGCAAAAUGUCAUAGGUCAAGUAUACCUUGAAACUGCUAUGAGUUCUGUCCUAGCCCGGAGGCUCCCAAUCCCCAUCAGGACCAGAAGGCUUCGCUGGAAGCUGGCAGCAGCAGCGGACAGUUUGAACUGCUUUCAGUCCUGUUUAGCAGCACAUGGAA